rnacentral:rRNA from 1 species
CCCUUAGAUGUCCUGGGCCGCACGCGCGUUACACUGAUGCAUUCAACGAGCUUAUAACCUUGGCCGAGAGGCCUGGGCAAUCUUGUUAACGUGCAUCGUGAUAGGGAUAGAUUAUUGAAAUUAUUAAUCUUGAACGAGGAAUUCCUAGUAAACGCAGAUCAUCAAUCUGCAUUGAUUACGUCCCUGCCCUUUGUACACACCGCCCGUCGCUCCUACCGAUUGAAUGAUCCGAUGAAUAUCAUAGACUGAGAGUAUAAGCAGGUUCGCCUGUCUUUGCUUCUCGGGAAGUGAAGUAAAUCUUAUCAUUUAGAGGAAGGAGAAGUCGUAACA